AUUGAACGCUGGCGGCAGGCUUAACACAUGCAAGUCGAGCGGGGGGAGGUAGCUUGCUACCGGACCUAGCGGCGGACGGGUGAGUAAUGCUUAGGAAUCUGCCUAUUAGUGGGGGACAACAUCUCGAAAGGGAUGCUAAUACCGCAUACGUCCUACGGGAGAAAGCAGGGGAUCUUCGGACCUUGCGCUAAUAGAUGAGCCUAAGUCGGAUUAGCUAGUUGGUGGGGUAAAGGCCUACCAAGGCGACGAUCUGUAGCGGGUCUGAGAGGAUGAUCCGCCACACUGGGACUGGAACACGGCCCAGACUCCUACGGGAGGCAGCAGUGGGGAAUAUUGGACAAUGGGGGGAACCCUGAUCCAGCCAUGCCGCGUGUGUGAAGAAGGCCUUAUGGUUGUAAAGCACUUUAAGCGAGGAGGAGGCUACUUUAGUUAAUACCUAGAGAUAGUGGACGUUACUCGCAGAAUAAGCACCGGCUAACUCUGUGCCAGCAGCCGCCGUAA
rnacentral:rRNA from 1 species